CCUACGGGAGGCAGCAGUGAGGAAUAUUGGUCAAUGGGCGCGAGCCUAAACCAGCCAAGCCGCGUGCAGGAAGACGGUCCUAUGGAUUGUAAACUUCUUUUGUCGGGGAGCAAAAGACGCUACGCGUAUCGGUCCGAAAGUACCCGAAGAAAAAGCAUCGGCUAACUCCGUGCCAGCAGCCGCGGUAAUACGGAGGAUGCGAGCGUUAUCCGGAUUUAUUGGGUUUAAAGGGUGCGUAGGCGGAGGAUCAAGUCAGCGGUAAAAUCGAGAGGCUCAACCUCUGCGAGCCGUUGAAUCUGGUUUGCUUGAGUGUGUGAGAAGUAUGCGGAAUGUGUGGUGUAGCGGUGAAAUGCAUAGAUAUCACGCAGAACUCCGAUUGCGAAGGCAGCAUACCGGCGCUCAACUGACGCUCAUGCACGAAAGUGUGGGUAUCGAACAGGAUUAGAUACCCCGGUAGUC
rnacentral:rRNA from 1 species